rnacentral:rRNA from 1 species
GACGAACGCUGGCGGCGUGCCUAACACAUGCAAGUCGAGCGGAGAUAAUUAAAAGCUUGCUUUUGAUUAUCUUAGCGGCGGACGGGUGAGUAACGCGUGGGCAACCUGCCUUUCACAGGGGGAUAACACAGGGAAACUUGUGCUAAUACCGCAUAACACAACGAGAAAGCAUUUUCUUGUUGUCAAAGGAGUAAUCCGGUGAUAGAUGGGCCCGCGUCCAAUUAGCUAGUUGGUGGUGUAACGGACCACCAAGGCGACGAUUGGUAGCCGAACUGAGAGGUUGAUCGGCCACAUUGGGACUGAGACACGGCCCAGACUCCUACGGGAGGCAGCAGUGGGGAAUAUUGCACAAUGGGGGAAACCCUGAUGCAGCAACGCCGCGUGAUGGAUGAAGGUUUUCGGAUUGUAAACUUCUUUGAUGAGGGACGAAUAAAUGACGGUACCUCAAAAACAAGCCACGGCUAACUACGUGCCAGCCGCCGCCGUAAGAC